CCUACGGGUGGCAGCAGUGGGGAAUAUUGCACAAUGGGGAAACCCUUAUGCCGCGACCCCCCGUGAGUGAAGAAGUAAUUCGUUAUGUAAAGCUCUAUCAACAGGGAAGAAAAUGACGGUACCUUAGUCAGAAGCCCCCGCAAACUACGUGCCAGCAGCCGCGGUAAUACGUAGGGGGCAAGCGUUUUCCGGAUUUACUGGGGGAAAAGGGAGCGUAGACGGCAGUGCAAGUCUGGAGUGAAAGGCGGGGCUCAACCCCCGGACUGCUCUGGAAACUGUACGGCUGGAGUGCAGGAGAGGGAAGUGGAAUUCCUAGUGUAGCGGUGAAAUGCGUAGAUAUUAGGAGGAACACCAGUGGCGAAGGCGGCUUACUGGACUGUAACUGACGUUGAGGCUCGAAAGCGUGGGGAGCAAACAGGAUUAGAUACCCCAGUAGUC
rnacentral:rRNA from 1 species